UACGUAGGUGGCGAACGUUGUCCGGAUUUACUGGGCGUAAAGCGCGCGCAGGCGGACUGAUAAGUCAGAGGUAAAAUCUCCCGGCUCAACUGGGAGCGGCCCUUUGAUACUGUCAGCCUUGAGAUGCCUAGAGGAGAGUGGAAUUCCCGGUGUAGUGGUGGAAUGCGUAGAUAUCGGGAGGAACACCAGUGGCGAAAGCGACUCUCUGGGGGCGAUCUGACGCUGAGGCGCGAAAGCGUGGGGAGCAAACCGGAUUAGAUACCCGGGUAGUCCACGCCGUAAACGAUGAGUACUAGCUGUAUGGGGUAUCGACUCCCUGUGUAGCGAAGCUAACGCGAUAAGUACUCCGCCUGGGGACUACGACCGCAAGGUUA
rnacentral:rRNA from 1 species